UAGCUUUUUGGAAAGCUCAGGGUUCCACGCUUUUUCCAGAUUUUUGCCGUUUUCGCAUUCUUUCUUCUUCCAGCAGCUUAGGCAUAUUUUUACAGUAUUACUUUGACAAAUUUUUAUAUUGUUUUCCUUUUGCAAUUCUAUUUUCUUUUUCCAGCUCUUAAUUAAUUUUUCGCACAAUAGUUUCUACACCGGAAACUAUUGUGUACCUUUUACCGGAUCUAACCUUACGUUAGAAUCUAGUUUUUUUUAUUCCUUCGUUUUAUUUUUCUGCCUGAUUGAAG
rnacentral:lncRNA from 1 species